AAAAAGCUCGUAGUUGAACCUUGGGCCUGGCUGGCCGGUCUGCCUCACCGCAUGCACUGGUCCGGCCGGGCCUUUCCCUCUGGGGAGCCGCAUGCCCUUCACUGGGUGUGUCGGGGAACCAGGACUUUUACUGUGAAAAAAUUAGAGUGUUCAAAGCAGGCAUAUGCUCGAAUACAUUAGCAUGGAAUAAUAGAAUAGGACGUCGCGGUUCUAUUUUGUUGGUUUCUAGGACCGCCGUAAUGAUUAAUAGGGACAGUCGGGGGCAUCAGUAUUCAAUCGUCAGAGGUGAAAUUCUUGGAUCGAUUGAAGACUAACUACUGCGAAAGCAUUUGCCAAGGAUGUUUUCAUUAAUCAGGAACGAAAGUUAGGGGAUCGAAAACGAUCAGAUACCGUUGUAGUCUUAACCAUAAACUAUGCCGACUAGGGAUCGGGCGGUGUUAUUUCUUGACCCGCUCGGCACCUUACACGAAAGUAAAGUUUUUGGGUUCUGGGGGGAGUAUGGUCGCAAGGCUGAAACUUAAAGAAAUUGACGGAAGGGCACCACAAGGGGCGGAGCCUGCGGCUUAAUUUGACUCAACACGGGGAAACUCACCAGGUCCAGACACAACUAGGAUUGACAGAUUGAGAGCUCUUUCUUGAUUUUGUGGGUGGUGGUGCAUGGCCGUUCUUAGUUGGUGGAGUGAUUUGUCUGCUUAAUUGCGAUAACGAACGAGACCUUAACCUGCUAAAUAGCCCGUGCCGCCUAGGCGGCACGCCGGCUUCU
rnacentral:rRNA from 1 species